rnacentral:tRNA from 1 species
UCAGCUUUGGUGCAGUAGGUAGUGCAUCAGUCUCUCAAGCUGAAGGUCCGGAGUUCAAUCCUUCGAAGUAGAG